UGUAGAGAGGCCUGGUCAUCCAUGAUUCUGUAUUCUGUUAUAGAGAGGCCUGGUCAUCCAUGAUUCUGUAGUCUGUUAUAGAGAGGCCUGGUCAUCCAUGUUCACUGCUAUCCUAUUCCAACAGCCAGGGAAUGAAAACAGCGUGUCUGUCCAUCAAAUGAUGGAUUUCAACCAGAGCAAAGCAGCACUCUCCCUAAUGCAGAGGAAGGCCUGUUAGAACACAGGCAGAAAUGGGGGCUGGCAGAGAAGAGGAACCUGAUCCAGGCCCCAAGAUGGUAACACUUUGGGGACCUCAUCUCGGGAUGUUUUCUGAGGACCAUCAGCUCAUCGAGGACAGUGUAAACCAAGGCAAAGCACUGAAGGCAUAGGAAGGCAAACAGCUGUCUGAGUCCAGUCAUCUCAAGAACAACUUCUCCGUCUUGCUGCCAGGGUCAAGCAAGUUCACGAUCCCAGGCCCAGGAACCAACUCCUAUCCUGAUUAAUGGAAACUCCCUUGUUCAACCCUUUAUGUCAAAAUAUGAUUGGACAAUGCUACAGCCCACCCAGCUCCCCCUCUCUUUAUGGUUUCAUCCCUUAAAUAUGCUGUGCAACGUCCCUUCAGGGUCAUAGUUUAGAUCCUGAUUCUGUUCUGUGGUCCCGAUCAAUCGGUAGCAGUUUGAUUAAAAUACACUUUUGUCAUCUGCA